GCCACUGUGGUUGCUGUCCGCGGAGUGGAAGUGCGUGCCUUUGUUAGUGUCCCUGGCCAUGGCGCUGCAGCUGUCCCGGGAGCAGGGAAUCACCCUUCACAGGAGCGCCAAAAUUGUGGCCGAGUUCUUCUCAUUCAUCAUCAACAGCAUUUUAUAUCAGCGUGGCAUAUAUCCAUCUGAAACUUUUACUAGAGUGCAGAAAUACGGACUCACCUUGCUUGUAACUACUGAUCUUGAGCUCAUAAAAUAUCUAAAUAACGUGGUGGAACAACUAAAAGAUUGGUUAUACAAGUGUUCAGUUCAGAAACUGGUUGUAGUUAUCUCAAAUAUUGAAAGUGGUGAGGUCCUGGAAAGACGGCAGUUUGAUAUUGAGUGUGACAAGACUGCAAAAGAUGACAGUGCACCCAGAGAAAAAUCUCAGAAAGCUAUCCAGGAUGAAAUCCGUUCAGUGAUCAGACAGAUCACAGCUACAGUGACAUUUCUGCCACUGUUGGAAGUUUCUUGUUCAUUUGAUCUGCUGAUUUAUACAGACAAAGAUUUGGUUGUACCUGAAAAAUGGGAAGAGUUGGUACCACAGUUUAUUACCAAUUCUGAGGAAAUCUGCCUUCGUUCAUUUACUACUACAAUCCACAAAGUAAAUAGCAUGGUGGCCCACAAAAUUCCUGUCAAUGACUGAGGAUGACUAUGAGGAAAAUAAUGUAAUUGUAAUUUUGAAAUUUGGUUUUCCUGAAAUCAAGUCAUCUAUAGUUAAUAUGUUUUAUUUCAUUGGUUAAUUUUUACAUGGAGAAAACCAAAAUGAUACUUACUGAACUGUAAUUGUUCCUUUUAUUUUUUGGUACCUAUUUGACUUAUCAUGGAGUUAACAUCAUGAAUUUAUUGCACAUUGUUCAAAAGGAACCAGGAAUUUUUUUUGUCAACGUUGUGAUGUAUAUUCCUUUGAAGAUAGUAACUGUAGAUGGAAAAACUUGUGCUAUAAAGCUAAAUGCUUUCCUAAAUCAGAUGUUUUGGUCAAGUAGCUCGACUCAGUAUAGGUAGGGAUACAAAAUACAGCAAAAGAAGUCUAAAUAUUCAGAAUCUUUGUUAAGGUCCUGAAAGUAACUAAUAAUCUAUAAACAAUGAAAUAUUGCUGUAUUAGCUCCUUUUGACCUUCAUUUCAUGUAUAGUUUUCCCUAAUGAAUCAGUUUCCAAUUAUUUGACUUUAAUUUAUGUAACUUCAACCUAUGAAGCAAUGGAUAUUUGUACUCUUUAAUGUUCUGUGACACAGAACUCUUAAAAAUGUUUUUUUGUGUGUGUGUCUGUGUUUUAUAAAAUCAAGUUUUAAGUAAAAGUGAGGAAAU